rnacentral:rRNA from 1 species
UACAGAGGCCUCAAGCGUUGUUCGGAUUCAUUGGGCGUAAAGGGCGCGUAGGCGGCGGGGUAAGUCGGGUGUGAAAUCUCAGAGCUCAACUCUGAAACUGCACUCGAUACUGCUCUGCUUGAGGACUGGAGAGGAGACUGGAAUUCACGGUGUAGCAGUGAAAUGCGUAGAUAUCGUGAGGAAGACCAGUGGCGAAGGCGGGUCUCUGGACAGUUCCUGACGCUGAGGCGCGAAGGCCAGGGGAGCAAACGGG